CACCAAUGAUAUUAUCAGUAUAAUACAUUUUAAUGCUCUAAAACACUCAUAUUUGUGUAGAGUAAUGUCUCACGAGUACAACAGUACCCCUCAAGUACAUGUUUUAUGGUGAUUUGGAAAGUUACAGGGUCAAACGUAAGAUUUGCCAAUUUCUGUUUUUGUAAAUUGCUAUUUGCCAGAUUGGCUAUGUUGCCUUUGAGACCGUAUGGCAGCCCAGGAAUAAAAAUUAACCCCAUCAUGGCAUACCAUUUGAAAAAGUAGACAACCCAUGUUAUUCAAAAU